rnacentral:rRNA from 1 species
GUGAGGAAUUUUCCGCAAUGGGCGAAAGCCUGACGGAGCAAUGCCGCGUGAAGGAUGAAGGCCUAUGGGUUGUAAACUUCUUUUCUCAGAAAAGAAUUAUGACGGUAUCUGAGGAAUAAGCAUCGGCUAACUCUGUGCCAGCAGCCGCGGUAAGACAGAGGAUGCAAGCGUUAUCCGGUAUGAUUGGGCGUAAAGCGUCUGUAGGUUGUUUAAAAAGUAUUCUGUCAAAGAUUAGGGCUUAACCCUAGAUAGGCAGAAUAAACUUUUAAGCUAGAGUUUGAUAGAGGCAGAGGGAAUGCCCGGUGGAGCGGUGAAAUGCGUAGAUAUCGGGAGGAACACCAAAGGCGAAGGCACUCUGCUGGGCCAAUACUAACACUGAGAGACGAAAGCGAGGGGAGCAAAUGGGAUUAGAAACCCGUGUAGUCC